GAUGAACGCUGGCGGCGUGCCUAAUACAUGCAAGUCGAGCGAACAGGCGAGGAGCUUGCUCCUCUGACGUUAGCGGCGGACGGGUGAGUAACACGUGGAUAACCUACCUAUAAGACUGGGAUAACUUCGGGAAACCGGAGCUAAUACCGGAUAAUAUAUUGAACCGCAUGGUUCAAUAGUGAAAGACGGUUUUGCUGUCACUUAUAGAUGGAUCCGCGCCGCAUUAGCUAGUUGGUAAGGUAACGGCUUACCAAGGCGACGAUGCGUAGCCGACCUGAGAGGGUGAUCGGCCACACUGGAACUGAGACACGGUCCAGACUCCUACGGGAAGCAGCAGUAGGGAAUCUUCCGCAAUGGGCGAAAGCCUGACGGAGCAACGCCGCGUGAGUGAUGAAGGUCUUCGGAUCGUAAAACUCUGUUAUUAGGGAAGAACAAAUGUGUAAGUAACUAUGCACGUCUUGACGGUACCUAAUCAGAAAGCCACGGCUAACUACGUG
rnacentral:rRNA from 1 species